CAAUAGCGUAUAUUAAAGUUGUUGCGGUAAAAAAGCUCGUAGUUGGAUUUCUGCUGAGAGCGACCGGUCCAUACCAUGUAUGCGUAUCUGGCUUGCUCUCGGCAUCCUCUCGAUAGACGUUACUGCGCUUGAUUGCGUGGUGCGGAUCUCGGGACUUUUACUUUGAGGAAAUUAGAGUGUUCACAGCAGGCUUUCGCCAGAAUACAUUAGCAUGGAAUAAUACUAUAGGAUCUUGGUUCUAUUUUGUUGGUUUCUAGAAUUGAGAUAAUGAUUAAUAGGGACAAUUGGGGGCAUUCGUAUCAACACGUCAGAGGUGGAAUUCUUGGAUUGUGUUGCGACGAACUACUGCGAAAGCAUUUGCCAAGGAUGUUUUCAUUGA
rnacentral:rRNA from 1 species